CCCUGGCUGGCUCAGUCAGUAGAGUAUGCGACUCUUGAUCUCAAGGUCGUGAGUUCAAGCCCCACAUUAGGCA
rnacentral:tRNA from 1 species